rnacentral:rRNA from 1 species
UGGUUCCUACGGGAGGCAGCAGUCGAGAAUCAUUCACAAUGGGGGAAACCCUGAUGGUGCGACGCCGCGUGGGAGAAUGAAGGUCUUCGGAUUGUAAACCCCUGUCAUGGGGGAGCAAAUUAAAAAGAUAGUACCACAAGAGGAAGAGACGGCUAACUCUGUGCUAGCAGCUGCGGUAAUACAGAGGUCUCAAGCGUUGUUCGGAAUCACUGGGCGUAAAGCGUGCGUAGGCUGUUUCGUAAGUCGUGUGUGAAAGGCGCGGGCUCAACCCGCGGACGGCACAUGAUACUGCGAGACGAGGGUAA